AGCAUUUACUGAAGGGCUUGAAGCUCAAAAUAUGUCUUCCGAGGCAAGAGCUCUUGUAACAAAGCUGACUGAGGAAAAAAAUAGGGCAAUUCAACAAAAUAACAAGCUUCGCCAAGAACUUGAACUUCUGAGGCAUCAAGGCAGCAAAACCGGCAGUGGUUUGUCAUUCAUGGUUGUCAUUUUGAUCGGCAUGCUCGGCUUAAUUAUGGGAUAUAUCAUGAAGAAGUCAUAAGCAACCAUCUUCUAGGAUUCUUCAUGGUAUUUUACCUCAACUUAACUUACCUUCGUCUGGACAAGUAUGAUGAAGGAAAAGGGAAGAAAAAUUAAUGGUUUUUGGGUUGCUGCUUUACCUUCAAUUGGUAUUUACUAGUUAGCUUUGACGAAAUUAGC